UAAAGAAAAAAUGAGGAAAUGCUGUGAAGAACUAAUAGAACGUUUCAGAAGCAGAACAAGUCGAGAGCAGUGAUGACCCUUUUGUUCCUGCUAGUACCUCCUGUCUGUCUGGCCGAACUCACCAUCAGAUGAUGUCUUGAACCUCACCUAGAUGGGCUGGUGGUGUGUGGCCAGGUUAAGAGCACCAACAGGAGUAAGAAAGUGACCUGCCUGGUUUUACCGUGUGUACUAGGGGAGGGGUUGAAAGCUUUCGGUUGAUACAUCACCUCUGGGAGUUGAAGAAGAAUGCAAUUAAGAGAGCUAAAGAAGUCAGUAUAGAAUCUGAAACUCAGAGGUCAACUGAUGUGUCAAAGAUACCUCCACAAAUCAGUACCUUGAUUAAAACUAAAAUUGGAGUCAUCUUCAUAUCUCCAUCUUUCUCCCUCUUCAUUAGGACCGAUUGUAGUCUGUUUCCCUCUCACUCACUUGCAAUCUUUAUUGCUUUAGUGUUGCAUUUGAUUUUUAUCUUUGUUUUUGUUUUAAAUACUGUCAUUAAAGUCAUAGAAAAAUCUAAAAUAAAACUGGUUGAAUAAAAAUUUUAAAAUCGACUCUAAUGUAAUAAACCAGACAAAAAUGAUACUUUAAAUGUUAUAUCUUCCCUUUAAACUACAAAUAUUCAUUGAGUGUAUACCCUGUAUUAGGCUGUUGGAAUAAAACAGGGAAGAAGACAGAAGAAACUGCACCGCCAUCUUAGAUCUUGCAGCCAAAUUCCUCUGAACUUUUCUCUAAAGACGUGCUCUGGAAAAAUGUUGAUCAUUUUCCUACAUCAUGGAGGUCUUUUCAUGACCACCUUUGUCUAGACAAUGUCCUGUUUUUAGGUGCACGUUUGAGGGCUGGAGUCUCUGACCCACAGUGCUGCAGCCUGCACGUGGUUUGUCCUGACUUCUUUGCUACUUCACUUUUCGUAAGGCUCUGAGAGUGCAGGCCCUUGUGGGUGGACACUGCAGGGUGAGAGGAAGAAGUAAACUACUUUUUUCCGUUUCUGAUGGGGGUGUGGGUCAGCAGCUAUAAGCAACAGGGACCAUGGGGGGCCUCAGACUUCAGCACCUGAGAGGCAGUUUCAGUCGUAUUGGGGAGAUGCAGGCAUCUGGGUUGCUGCACAUCACCAGGGCAGGGUUCUCUCAGCAGCCCUGGAGUGCAGAGUUCCCAUCAGCUCAGCAGUGAGGGGCACAUGGGGCUCCAGUGGUGAGGACUCUUGGUCCUUGGAUGACAACACUCCCCUGCCCACUUCUCCAGCCUUCCCUGUAACCCUUUGCCACCUCUAACCAAUCUUCUGUGUUACAUCUCUUCGGUUUGCAAUAUGUAGUGUUCGUAUAUGACUGGACAGUAUCUACUGGAGUUAAUAUCUAUCAGAGUAAUUAUAUCACAAUUGCAAUCUUCUCCUAAGAGUGAAUAGUGACAUUAAAAAUUUCAACAUUAUAAAUUAUGCAGAAAUAAAACUAAUUAUACAAAAAAUACACUCUGAAUGUCAGUUUUUCCCUGAGACAAUCUACCAUUUGAUAUACGGUGAUUCACACUUCUUAAUAUACAACAUUGAAUUACUUUUCCAAAAGCCUCUUCAAAUUUUGCUGCAGAAUUAAACUUCACUUGCACCAGCUCUGAAUUAUGUGUGCUUUUCCUUCUUGGUCAAUUUCAUAGGUGUAUCAUUAUUUGUCUUUUUUAAUUAAUAUGUUUAUAUAACUUUUCAUGUUUAUCCAUGUAACUACUGCUUUUGUGAAACGUGUGUUUUUAUCCUUUUCACAUUUUUUUCUAUUGAAAUGUUUUCUUUAUAAAUAUAAAUGUGUUUUUGGUAUGAAAAUAAUAACUGGCCAGAUGCGGUGGCUCACACCUGUAAUCCCAGCACUUUGAGAGGCCGAGGUGGGUGGAUCACCUGGCCUCAGGAGUUCGGGACCAGCCUGGCCAGCAUAGUGAAACCCCAUCUCUACUAAAACUACAAAAUUAGCUGGCGUGGUAGCACGUGCCCUGUAAUCCAAGCUACUUGGGAGGCUGAGACAGGAGACUCAGUCGAACCUAGGAGGCAGAAGUUGCAGCAAGCCAAGAUCACGCUAUUGCACUCCAGCCUGGGCAAAAAGAGCGAAACUCUGUCUCAAAAAGAAGAAAAAAAAUAGUAACUCUUUGUGAAUAGUAUCAACUAAAAUAUUUAUAUUUCAGUUUUCAUUCUGAUAUUUUGUUUCAUCAGAAUUUUUUAAAGUAUUUUGUUUAAUAUAUUAACUUUAAUAAUUUCAUUAACUGUCUCGUGCUUACAAAGUCUUUAUGCAUUUGGGGAUUAUGUAAAGCAUCUACCUUUACACUUUUAAUGAGUUUCAGAGGUUUUUUGGUACCUUUGAGUUAUAAUACAAAAAUAAUUUAUUUGGGUGUGAUAUGCAGUGAAUUGCUAACAUUAUUGCUUUUAAUUAAAGAUUAAAUUCCAA